AAUUACACGUGCAUUUGGUUUCAUGUACAUUGUGCAUUUCGGCCAAUCCAAAGUACUGUACUUUCACUGACUAUAAAGUUUCCUUUACAAUAUUCAUUCUUAAAUAGUCCCUUGUAGGUACACUUCUCAUUAUUUAAAUAUGCUUUAAAAGACUCCUGAACUUCAUCUAGAUCCUAAGAACAAGACUUGUCUGAACUAUUUUAGUCUUCCUCCACUCGGCUGAAAUGUUAUAAAAUACUGAAACCUGAAGACAUGCAGUGCAGAUCUUAUAAUGCACUUUGA
rnacentral:lncRNA from 1 species